UCAGUCUCCUCCAGAACACCCUUUUUGUUGCAGAGCACAACAAACUGACCCCUAUCACACCGAAUACCAUUACUGCUGCCAGCAAGGCGGGGGGAGAGGUGUCAUGACUAAUAACUGGAUCUCCUCCCUUGUCUGCUAAGCUGGCUGUGGCUACUAUUUCAGACUUCACUGAGGUCAAAUCCCAAGACGCUUUUUUGUCAUGACCGUGUGCUGGUGAGCCUCUUGUUGUCAUAAAUGCAAUUCCCCACCUUCUCCUGUGGGGAUUUCCCAAUGGCUCCAGCAGAACUCUAAACCAGGAGUGACACAUCUGAGCUCACCAGUCUUGACACACAAGAAGGCAAA